rnacentral:rRNA from 1 species
UACGGGGGGGGCAAGCGUUGUUCGGAAUUCCUGGGCGUAAAGGGCUUGUAGGUGGCCAACUAAGUCCGACGUGAAAUCCCUAGGCUUAACCUAGGAACUGCGUCGGAUACUGGAUGGCUUGAAUCCGGGAGAGGGAUGCGGAAUUCCAGGUGUAGCGGUGAAAUGCGUAGAUAUCUGGAGGAACACCGGUGGCGAAGGCGGCAUCCUGGACCGACACUGACACUGAGGAGCGAAAGCCAGGGGAGCAAACGGG